UACGGAGGGUGCAAGCGUUGCUCGGAAUCACUGGGCGUAAAGCGACCGCAGGCGGCCUGACAAGUCAGGGGUGAAAUCCUGGAGCUCAACUCCAGAACUGCCUUUGAUACUGAAGAUCUUGAGUUCGGGAGAGGUGAGUGGAACUGCGAGUGUAGAGGUGAAAUUCGUAGAUAUUCGCAAGAACACCAGUGGCGAAGGCGGCUCACUGGCCCGAUACUGACGCUGAGGCACGAAAGCGUGGGGAGCAAACAGG
rnacentral:rRNA from 1 species